UACGUAGGGUGCGAGCGUUAAUCGGAAUUACUGGGCGUAAAGCGUGCGCAGGCGGUUCGUUGUGUCCGGUGUGAAAGCCCCGAGCUUAACUUGGGAAUGGCAUUGGAAACUGGCGAGCUGGAGUGUGGCAGAGGGGGGUGGAAUUCCACGUGUAGCAGUGAAAUGCGCAGAUAUCGGGAAGAACACCCGUGGCGAAGGCGGCUCUCUGGGACGGUACUGACGCUGAGACGCGAAAGCGUGGGGAGCAAACAGG
rnacentral:rRNA from 1 species